UGGGUAGCCGCAGGCAGGGCUGGUCUAAGGCCAGAAAAUGAAGCCAGAAGGGGUUGCAGUGUGGAUGCGUGCAGUCACUCACUGGGAUUAGAGAAGGCAAAAAGAGGAAACCCAGGGAGGAAGGGAGUAGAAAUCCUGGGUUCCUGGCCCUAAAGGAAGGGUUUACCCCUGGGGGGCAGGCAGGAGUGGAGAAAGAAGCCUGAUAGAAUAGGAAACAGCCAAGGGAAAUGGCAGCAGGGUAUUGGGACAGAGCAGACUUGGGCUGCUGAAAGUAGGGUCCCUGGGCUGGAAGCUGGAGUAUUGGACAUAUUGGGCAUAGCCUUGAAUUGGAGGAGUGCCGGGAACGAUUCCUGUUUAGCCAGUCCAGUGAGACUUCGAGUACCCUGGAAGGGGGAAACCACAUAGUGACCUGACUGGAGGGCUGCAUCGCAAAGCGGGAGCACUGCAAGUCAUGACGUGUGAGAAGAGCCACAGCGUGAAUGACAGACAGAAGGGGGCGUCAGACCGAGCGAAGCUAGUCCCCAGACGCAGCCACGAGGAAGCGCCUGAACGAGCCCCAUUGCUGGUGUGUGAUGUGAACAGGUCUCGCUGCUGCUCAUUCAAGCUCAAGCUGGAUCAGAAAUUUGAGAAACGAAAUUUCUAGCCCGGGUCUGAAAUGUCAGAAGGGCCGCAACAAUGCUUGGAGGAGUCACCCUGCUCUGAAAUGACUGAGGGAGAGCAGCAAAAAGGAAACCACAUUUCUUCUCAUUCCAAACCAAUGCGGUGGUUUGUGAUUUGGAUCCGGAUUCAGGUUCAGUUUCCAUAUGCAUCUCCCCACCAGUGAAAUCCUAACUCUACUGCUGUCAAUGGAAGUUUUGCUAUUGACUCAAUGAAGCCAGGAUUAUACCCCUAAACCUGAGAGGUGUGUGGAAUUGUUUAUUUUCUACAGGCCCAAUAUUUCUCUGAAUCACCUGGGGUGACUUGUUCAUUUUUUUUUGUCGAGUUCAUUUGUUUUUUGUCUAGAUAGUUUUUUGCCCCUAUUUUUACAAAUGAACUGUAAGAUGCAAACUAUAAAUUAUAAAUGAACAGUUUCAAUGAGGGUGUUCAUUGCAAUGACGGAAAUCUAAUUAAGCAGCUUUAAUAUCUAAGUGAUAUUAUUAUUAAAGAGUUACAUUAACAGAGCAUUUGAUCAGCCUCUUCAUUUGUUCUUUGUGGAUUGUAUUUAUGAGAUAGUAUGCUUCUGAAUGACACAAAGAUCAAUUCCUUUAUUCAGAGGGAAACAUGACAUCAUGAGUUUAAAUUGAAAUACAUUAAUAUAGAAGGCCCAUGGAAACAAAUACACUGUUCUCCCAGCCUAAUUGACUUAGUUUAAUUGACUUUAAGUAACUGUUUGUAUUGAUUGGCUUCAGGUUGUGAUUUGACAGCCACAUAAAGGGCCUAAUUUUUAAAGCAGACCAGAGUUCCAAAUGCAAAAAUGCAUAUGAAGUUCCACAUCCCAUGGUACACUCAUUUACCAUGGUGCCAAGCUCAAGUCACAACUCAUGAGUUAGGCCGGUGGCUGGUUAGUCAGCUCCCAUUUGUGCACACAAUCACAUUAAACAGUUGACUUGCAUGCAUACAUUUUGUCCCUUAAAGAUCUGGUCCAAUGUGACUUUAUGAAACAAUGGGAGCCAGAUUUUCCAAAAGUUUGGGUCUGCAUUUACAAUCCUAAUUUACAAGCACAAUUAGUGCACUUGUGUGAGCAAAUUGGCUAACUGCAUGUGCAAAUGUGGCUAACUAGGCAUUCGAGCAUGCAAUCAUGGCAACUGCAUGCUCAAUUAUGUGCCAAACACACACUGUUACUUUUUGAAAAUAUGGCAUGUGUUGGAAGAUCCUCUGCAAAGUUAUCCUUUGGGUUGUCCCAUCCCAUCAAUAUAUCUUCCCCUCCCAAUGAAUUCCUUCAAUUUUACCUGUCUCACUUCUUCUCUGACUAAUGCUAGGCAGAGCUAUGGCUAAUGGAUCAA